UUGACCGAUCCCUAAUCUUCAUUCUUCAUUUCUUCACUUCGGCAACUUCGCUUUGCAGAACUUCGCAGCCUUCGCUCCUGCUCCAGUCUUCCUCUUCGCAGUUCGCAGUUCGCACUUCACUUCGCCGCUUCGGUCUUGGGGAAACGGCGUAGAUCAGUUUUGGUGUGGAUCAAUUUUGGGGAAACGGCGUAGAUGACCACUGGUUGGCGGUGCUCGUUGUCGACUGUGGGCUGAGGUGGUGCGGCUGGUGCGGCUGAGCAGGGUGAUUGAGCUGGUGCGGCUCCAAUCUUGAAGCCUGAAGUUUUUCCGCCUGCUGCUCCGAUUCCAAGGAUGGAGGCUGGUAGCGGUAGUAACUCACAAUGUUCACCGGGGGGACCAUUCAAUAGUGAGGGAUCUGCAAGUCAGCCCCAAGGUCAUAGGCAAAAGACAGAUAUAGAAUUAAAUGUUCAAAUGUGAUUCACAUAAUGGUCUUGGAUGAUGAUGAUGACUUGUCAAGAUGGCUUUUUUUGAAGCUUUGUUGUCCCAGAAUUAUGAAGAAGAUUAUAGAAGCUUCAGAAAUUGGGCUCGUUUGGACCUUUUGAUUGUUUUCUAGACUUGUAUUGUUUUUUGUUAAUUUUAAUAUUUAGACAAUUGGACAUGUAAGUUUCAUAACUAUGUUAAUUGUGUGUUAAUUGUUGGAUAUUGCUCUUAUAUUUAUUGUGGUUCAGCAUUUAUAUUUUA